rnacentral:lncRNA from 1 species
UUUGUUCAGGGUGCUAAAUAGUACUGAAAAUUGAUAACAAAUCAAGUCAGCCUAAUUUACAGUCUCGAAGUUAGGUGACAUUACAUUAAACAGAUGAUCAACCAUCAAAAUUACUACAGCAGUGUUUAUUUUCCAGAUCACAUUUUGUAGUCUUUGAAAUGUCAGAUAUGCACUCCCACUGAGAGGCAAAUGUGGAUAUACAUAUGCGAGGAUGUCAUCAACAUGGAGAAGAUUGAAAGCAAAUGUGCAAGGAUUCAUUACAGAUUUAAUCCUUCCAACAAUUCUGAUUAAACAAGGGACCGACAGGUUGUUUGAUUCUGAGGAUUUGGGUUAUUGAUUAUUGACAUAGGAACUGAAUCCCCUGAAUAUUUCACCAAAUGGAAUUUUGGAUGUGAAAAUACAUUCCUGCUUCUGUCUCAGGGCGCCUCCACAGCAACAUGCACAUCCCUGAUGCUUUUCUGCAUCUUCCAAUUUCAGCAUGCCACCUGCACAAUCAUCCUAAAAUAUCACUUUUGUUAUGUUAAUUUCCCAGCGGGGGUGGGAAGGACCCUUUUAUAGCCUGCCGCUAC